GACGAACGCUGGCGGCGUGCUUAACACAUGCAAGUCGAACGGAAAGGCCCUGCUUUUGUGGGGUGCUCGAGUGGCGAACGGGUGAGUAACACGUGAGUAACCUGCCCUUGACUUUGGGAUAACUUCAGGAAACUGGGGCUAAUACCGGAUAGGAGCUCCUGCUGCAUGGUGGGGGUUGGAAAGUUUCGGCGGUUGGGGAUGUACUCGCGGCUUAUCAGCUUGUUGGUGGGGUAGUGGCUUACCAAGGCUUUGACGGGUAGCCGGCCUGAGAGGGUGACCGGCGACAUGGGGACUGAGGGACGGCCCAGACGCCUACGGGAGGCAGCAGUGGGGAAUAUUGCACAAUGGGCGGAAGCCUGAUGCAGCAACGCCGCGUGCGGGAUGACGGCCUUCGGGUUGUAAACCGCUUUCGCCUGUGACGAAGCGUGAGUGACGGUAAUGGGUAAAGAAGCACCGGCUAACUACGUG
rnacentral:rRNA from 1 species